UCAGAUAUAUGCACAACUGAAUUCUGACUAAAUGCAUCACUUUUAAAAUUUUGUUUUUAAAUGCGUAUUGUAUGGUAACAUGGACAGUACAUAUAGGUACAUAUAUAUUCUAUACUAACAUGGAAUUUAACAAAUAGGGGCUCAUCUUCAAUCAGGACAUGGAUUACGAUGGAAAGAUUGCGCCUCGGACCCACUGAACGCUGCACUGACAUUCAAUUCUCUCAAGAUAUGGCCCUUCCCUGUUCUUAUUCCUGGUGAUGUACAUUUCUCUGUGGAUGUGACGGUUAACAGAGAGGUUCAUAAACUCUACAUUGAUGAGGAUGUCGAUGAGAUCAUCUCAAAAUUCUAUUUCACAUUGCCGUGUGUUGGUGAAGGCAUCGGCUCAUGUAGUGAUAUUGACUCGUGCCACUACAGAGACCAGAACGUGCCAGACAUCUGGGAAACAUUCAUGUUUUAUAUGUUAGGCAAUGACACUGACUGCCCAAUACCAUCUAAAUCGGUAGUUAUCCAGGAUGAAAUGGUGAAUAUACCUUCUCUGCCCAUGGAAAUUGCUAAUAUGGCAAACAGAAUGUUUCAGAUACGGCUCCAUUUCAAGGACGACAAGGCCAGCAAAGAUCAUAUUGGGUGCUUGGAGUUCGAUUUCGAAUUUGAUUUGUCUCCGUCAUUUCUUUCUGGUCUAGGUUAAAUAUUGCCACAAAACACGUGAAAAGAAAACCAUGACAUUGUUCACUGACAUGUUUCGAAAAUGUAACAGUAACUAGUAUUUAUUGGCAUUCUGACCAUUUUUAUAAGAAAAUAAAGGCAAUAAUGACUGAA
rnacentral:misc_RNA from 1 species